UGGGGAAUUUUGGACAAUGGGGGAAACCCUGAUCCAGCCAUCCCGCGUGUGCGAUGAAGGCCUUCGGGUUGUAAAGCACUUUUGGCAGGAAAGAAACGUCGCGGGUUAAUACCCCGCGGAACUGACGGUACCUGCAGAAUAAGCACCGGCUAACUACGUGCCAGCAGCCGCGGUAAUACGUAGGGUGCAAGCGUUAAUCGGAAUUACUGGGCGUAAAGCGUGCGCAGGCGGUUCGGAAAGAAAGAUGUGAAAUCCCAGAGCUUAACUUUGGAACUGCAUUUUUAACUACCGGGCUAGAGUGUGUCAGAGGGAGGUGGAGUUCCGCGUGUAGCAGUGAAAUGCGUAGAUAUGCGGAGGAACACCGAUGGCGAAGGCAGCCUCCUGGGAUAACACUGACGCUCAUGCACGAAAGCGUGGGGAGCAAACAGGAUUAGAUACCCUGGUAGUCCACGCCCUAAACGAUGUCAACUAGCUGUUGGGGUCUUCGGACCUUGGUAGCGCAGCUAACGCGUGAAGUUGACCGCCUGGGGAGUACGGUCGCAAGAUU
rnacentral:rRNA from 1 species